CCCAUAUUAAGAAAGUAGGAGUCUAUCCUAUUAAUACUGUGAGUGUGACAGACCCUUAUUCACACGGGGGACCUGUUGAAUGGUAACUUUGCCCCACUGCUCAUAUCCCGCAGAACAUGUACAAUAGCCAUUUUCUAUACAUUGUCCUAUAUGUAGUUGAUGAAGGAUAUGCAUUCAAAGAGUGGGGAUCUUGUAGACUCUAACAGUGUUAUUCCAUAAAGUGAAAAUUAUAAGUGAAUUCAAAGAGAAUUUGGAAUUUAAGGCCAGAG